rnacentral:misc_RNA from 1 species
GCCUUGAGCAUCGACUUCUUGAACGCAAAUAGCGACAUCAGGCUCUGCCUGCUGUCACGCCUGGCCGAGUGUCGGCAUUAAAUAUAUCGCGACGCUUAAUUAGUCGUGGCUUGGUUUGCUGUCAGCCGUCGUGUUUGCCUUUUCAACGUGUUGCCUAGUUGUUAAGUCGACGGAGUUUUUGACGCUUACCCAAAGUAAUGGAGAGUGCUUGCAUAUGCGCUGGCUCAUCCAGUUGCUUCUAGUGGUUGCCACACUGUCAUGCAUCUGUUCUUUGUUUGCUUCUAUUUCUCAGAUGUGGACGGCUGGUCUAUCGCUAGAUGAGCGUGUUUUCUGGUUGUCAGUCGCUGUGACGUGGGAAUUUCGAAAAGCAUUUAUGAAUUAUCAUUGCAAUGUUUAUUGUCAUAAAUGUGGUUCUCCUGAGCCUAUUGGCCUCGGGUUGUGCGGUGACCAAUGUUGCUUUACGUGCGUGCACAUGCAUGCCGGGUCGCAGCCUAUUGUGAUCGCGACCUCGUGCGUUGCUUGUGUUGUGCACGUGAAGUUUGUUGCUGCUACUUGCGCGUAAGCGCGAGACUGAUCCGAUGUGAGAUCGUUUGCCCAAGUCAGGUGCAGCUUGAAUUGCAACUCUGGCGUUGAGGUGCUUUUUGGUGUCACGGGCAUUCUUGUAGAGUGUUGUGUGCUCACCUGGCCUCGGAUUAGGCGUGAUGACCCGCUGAACUUAAGCAUAU